GAUGAAGAACGUAGUUAAAUGCGAUAAGUAAUGUGAAUUGCAGAAUUCAGUGAAUCAUCGAAUCUUUGAACGCACAUUGCGCCCCUUGGUAUUCCGGGGGGCAUGCCUGUUCGAGCGUCAUUUCAACCCUCAAGCUCAGCUUGGUAUUGAGUCCAUGUCAGUAAUGGCAGGCUCUAAAAUCAGUGGCGGCGCCGCUGGGUCCUGAACGUAGUAAUAUCUCUCGUUACAGGUUCUCGGUGUGCUUCUGCCAAAACCCAAAUUUUCUAUGGUUGACCUCGGAUCAGGUAGGGAUACCCGCUGAACUUAAGCAUAUCAAUAAGCGGAGGA
rnacentral:misc_RNA from 1 species